rnacentral:rRNA from 1 species
AAUCAACGCUGGCGGCGUGCCUCAGACAUGCAAGUCGUACGAUUAAAGCUCUCUUCGGAGAGUGUAUAGAGUGGCGCACGGGUGAGUAACACGUAAGUAAUCUACCUUCGAGUGGGGAAUAACAGUCGGAAACGACUGCUAAUACCGCAUAAUGCAGCGGCACCUAAUGGUGACAGUUGUUAAAGCAUUUAUGUGCUUGAAGAGGAGCUUGCGGCAGAUUAGCUAGUUGGUAAGGUAAUGGCUUACCAAGGCAACGAUCUGUAGCCGACCUGAGAGGGUGGUCGGUCACACUGACACUGAAUAACGGGUCAGACUCC